AGAGUUUGAUCCUGGCUCAGGAUGAACGCUAGCGGCAGGCUUAACACAUGCAAGUCGAGGGGCAGCACGGGUAGCAAUACCUGGUGGCGACCGGCGCAAGGGUGCGUAACGCGUGAGCAACAUGCCCUAUACAGGGGGAUAAUCCAGGGAAACUUGGUCUAAUAUCCCAUAGUAUUUAGAGGAGGCAUCUUCUAUAAAUUAAAGCUUCGGUGGUAUAGGAUUGGCUCGCGUGACAUUAGCUAGAUGGUGAGGUAACGGCUCACCAUGGCAAUGAUGUCUAGGGGUUCUGAGAGGAAGGCCCCCCACACUGGGACUGAGACACGGCCCAGACUCCUACGGGAGGCAGCAGUGAGGAAUAUUGGACAAUGGAUGGAAAUCUGAUCCAGCCAUGCCGCGUGCAGGAAGACAGCCCUAUGGGUUGUAAACUGCUUUUAUAUGGGAGCAAUAAGGUCUACGUGUAGACUGAUGAGAGUACCAUAUGAAUAAGCAUCGGCUAACUCCGUGCCAGCAGCCGCGGUAAUACGGAGGAUGCGAGCGUUAUCCGGAUUUAUUGGGUUUAAAGGGUGCGUAGGCGGCCGAGUAAGUCAGCGGUGAAAUUUUGCAGCUUAACUGUAACAGUGCCGUUGAUACUGCAUGGCUAGGAUUUGGUUGCUGUGGGUGGAAUGUGUGGUGUAGCGGUGAAAUGCUUAGAUAUCACACAGAAUAUCAAUUGCGAAGGCAGCUCACAAAGCCAAGAUUGACGCUGAGGCACGAAAGUGUGGGGAUCAAACAGGAUUAGAUACCCUGGUAGUCCACACUGUAAACGAUGAUAACUCACUGCCGGCGAUACACAGUCGGUGGCCAAGCGAAAGCGAUAAGUUAUCCACCUGGGGAGUACGACCGCAAGGUUGAAACUCAAAGGAAUUGACGGGGGCCCGCACAAGCGGAGGA
rnacentral:rRNA from 1 species